rnacentral:rRNA from 1 species
AGCGAACGCUGGCGGCAGGCCUAACACAUGCAAGUCGAACGAAGCCUUCGGACUUAGUGGCGGACGGGUGAGUAACACGUGGGAACGUGCCUUUAGGUUCGGAAUAACUCAGGGAAACUUGUGCUAAUACCGAAUGUGCCCUUCGGGGGAAAGAUUUAUCGCCUUUAGAGCGGCCCGCGUCUGAUUAGCUAGUUGGUGAGGUAAAGGCACACCAAGGCUACGAUCAGUAGCUGGUCUGAGAGGAUGACCAGCCACAUUGGGACUGAGACACGGCCCAAACUCCUACGGGAGGCAGCAGUGGGGAAUCUUGCGCAAUGGGCGAAAGCCUGACGCAGCCACGCCGCGUGGAUGAUGGAGGUCUUAGGAUUGUAAAAUCCUUUCACCGGUGAAGAUAAUGACUGUAGCCGGAGAAGAAGCCCCGGCUAACUUCGUGCCAGCAGCCGCAGUAAAAC